rnacentral:rRNA from 1 species
GAUGAACGCUGGCGGCGUGCCUAUACAUGCAAGUAGAAAGCUGAAGGAAGGAGCUUGCUCUUUUCGGAAGAGUUGCGAACGGGUGAGUUACGCGUAGGUAACCUGCCUGGUAGGGGGGGGUAACUAUUGGAAACGGUAGCUAAUACCGCAUAAAAGUAGAUUUUUGCUGAUUUUCUAUUAAAAAGUGCAAUUUCACCAACAACAGAAUGACCUGGCGUUGUAUUAGCUAGUUGGUGAGGUAACGGCUCACCAAGGCGACGAUACAUAGCCGACCUGAGAGGGUGAUCGGCCACACUGGGACUGAGACACGGCCCAGACUCCUACGGGAGGCAGCAGUAGGGAAUCUUCGGCAAUGGACGGAAGUCUGACCGAGCAACGCCGCGUGAGUGAAGAAGGUUUUCGGAUCGUAAAGCUCUGUUGUAAGAGAAGAACGAGUGUGAGAGUGGAAAGUUCACACUGUGACGGUAUCUUACCAGAAAGGGACGGCUAACUACGUG